CUCUAUGGGGCAGCUAUGGGUCGCUAUGGGGUUGCUAUGGGGCGGCUAUGGGUCGCAAUGGGGCGGCUAUGGGGUCGCUGUGGGUCGCUAUGGGGCGCUAAGGGGCAGCUAUGGGGUCACUAUGGCGUCUCUAUGGGGCGGCUGUGGGGUCGCUAUGGGGUGCAGUGGGGUUGCUAUGGGGCGGCUAUGGGGAGCUAUGGGGUCUCUGUGGGUGGCUGUGGGGCGCUAUGGGGUGGCUAUGGGGUCUCUGUGGGUCUCUAUGGGGUGGCUGUGGGGCAGCUAUGGGGCGGCUAUGGGGUGCAGUGGGGUCAGUAUGGGGCGGCUAUGGGCGCUAUGGGGUCUCUGUGGGUCGCUAUGGGGUGGCUAUGGGUCUCUGUGGGUCACUAUGGGGCAGCUAUGGAGCGGCUAUGGGGUGCAAUGGGGUCUCUAUGGGGCGCUAUGGGGCCUCUGUGGGUCGCUAUGGGGUCUCUAUGGGGCAGCUAUGGGUCGCGAUGAUCAGCUAUGGGUCGCUAUGGGGUUGCUAUGGGGCGCUAUGGGGUCUCUAUGGGGCAGCUAUGGGGUCUGUAUGGGGCAGCUAUGGGGCGCUAUGGGGCAGCUAUGGGGCGCUAUGGGUCUCUAUGGGGCGCUAUGGGGCAGCUAUGGGUCUCUAUGGGGCGCUAUGGGGUCUCUAUGGGGUCGUAUGGGGCGCUAUGGGGUGUCUGUGGGUUGCUAUGGGGCGCUAUGGGGCAGCUAUGGGUCUCUAUGGGGCGCUAUGGGGUCCUUGUAG
rnacentral:lncRNA from 1 species